AUUGAACGCUGGCGGCAGGCCUAACACAUGCAAGUCGAACGAGUGGCGGACGGGUGAGUAAUGUCUGGGAAACUGCCCGAUGGAGGGGGAUAACUACUGGAAACGGUAGCUAAUACCGCAUACCAUCGGAUGUGCCCAGAUGGGAUUAGCUUGUAGGUGAGGUAACGGCGCACCUAGGCGACGAUCCCUAGCUGGUCUGAGAGGAUGACCAGCCACAUGCGAACUGAGACACGGUCCAGACUCCUACGGGAGGCAGCAGUGGGGAAUAUUGCACAAUGGGCGCAAGCCUGAUGCAGCCAUGACGCGUGUAUGAAGAAGGCCUUCGGGUUGUAAAGUACUUUCAGCGGGGAGGCGUUACCCGCAUAAGAAGCACCGGCUAACUCCGUGCCAGCAGCCGCGGUAAUUC
rnacentral:rRNA from 1 species